rnacentral:piRNA from 1 species
UGUGGCUUUUAGUGCUUAAGUAGAG